rnacentral:snoRNA from 1 species
AGUAAGGUGUAGAGACAGUUUAUUUAGUGUCUCUCCAUUGAGAAAGAACAUUGAGGUAUAUUGAAAACAAAGGCCAAGAUAUCGUUUCAAUAGUCAUUUUCCUUGAUUGACGAUUUGAUUGUUGCUUGGCCACAA